rnacentral:rRNA from 1 species
CUUAAUAAUUAACUUAACAUAACACUGUUUAUACCAAAACAUGACCUCAACAUAAAAACUAAACCAUUUUUUUACCUAAGUAUGGGAGACAGAAAAGGUUCAACCAAAGCAAUAGAAAAAGUACCGCAAGGGAAAGCUGAAAGAGAAAUGAAAUAACCCAUAUUAGCACAAAAAAACAAGACUAAACCUU